rnacentral:rRNA from 1 species
GACGAACGCUGGCGGCGUGCUUAACACAUGCAAGUCGAACGGAAAGACCCCUUCCUUGGUACUCUAAUGUCGAACAGGUAAGUAACACGUGAGUAACCUGCCCUUGACUUCGAGAUAACGUCAGGAAACUGGGACUAAUACCGGUUAGGAAUCCUUUCUUCAUGGGGGUGGUUGGAAAGCUUCGGCGGUUUUGGAUGGACUCGCGGCUUAGCAGCUUGUUGGUGGGGUAGUGGCUUACCAAGGCUUUGACGGGUAGCCGGCCUGCGAGGGCGACCGGCGACAUUGGGACUGAGAGACGGCCCAGACUCCUACGGGAGGGAGCAGUGGGGAAUAUUGAAGAAUGGGCGGAAGCCUGAUGCAGCAACGCCGCGUGCGGGAUGACGGCCUUCUGGUUGUAAACCGAUUUCAGCAGGGGCGAUGCUUGUGGUGACGGUACCUGAAGAAGAAGCCCCGGCUAACUACGUG